AACUGUACAAAGGUCUCGGAUUGUAGUUUAAAUGCUAGCUGUGAUAAAGUUGGAAGUCCUUGCAAAUGUAAUGACGGGUUUGUUGCUGCAAGUGGAUUGUGUGCGAAACCGUCGUCAGCGGUAUCAUCCAGUGUAGCUUUGAGUACCGUAUGUAUACUGAUGAUGUUGAAUGUUAUCUAUAAACUUUUGUAAAGGUCAUGCCGACAAAGAUGGAUAAAGGGAGAGUAUUAAGCGCGUGUGUGUAUAUUCAUUCUAUUUUGUUUUUCUCUCUCUAAACUUAAGAUAAUUUCUGAAUAUUUUUUACAGUUUUGUUAGGUAGCGAUUUAUGACAUUGCUCUUUAGGCAUAAAGUACUUAUUUCAAUUAACUUGUUGUAGUUUCGUACACUACAAUUAUUUAGAUACAGAUGAUGCUCAGAUGAAGAUUAAGGGACUCUACUUAGGUUGUUUAGACUAGACUACGUGACUAGAAAUAAUUAUGUUUAAUGCCGUUUAAUAGAGGUUGAUAACUAUUCCGAUUUUGAAAAGUUCAAUAUUAUCUAAAAAUGAAAAGCAUUUAACCCAUUACUUCAUGAGCAUUUUGUGAAAAAUGGCUGUUUUCAUUGAAAAGUCUCCCGUUACAAGUUCAAAUUGCUAUAAUUCUAUAAAAACUGCUUCAACACUAAUCAAACUUGGCACAGAUGUUUACUGGACCAUUGCCCUUGAAACAACGUGCUCAGGCUUUAAUUUUCUGUUACCAUGGCAACAAGGGGACAUCUCAAAAUUGCCAAAAAAUCACUAUUUUGCGUUGAUCUUUUCCAUCAAAAUUGAUUUCAAAGCGCUGCAACUUCUCAAUGGAUUGAGAUAGAGUCAAAUGCUUUUCAGCGUUGGUUACACGUUACCUUAUGAUCAAUCUAGGGUCAUUUAUAGCCUCUCACAAGUCCAAAAUUUUCUUGGCGAUGAGGGGGACUCCGCCCCUUCAACC